GGACGACCAGCCUCACUGGAACUGAGACACGGUCCAGACACCUACGGGUGGCAGCAGUCGAGAAUUUUUCUCAAUGGGCGAAAGCCUGAAGGAGCGACGCCGCGUGGGGGAUGAAGGGCUUCGGUCCGUAAACCCCUGUCAUUUGCGAACAAACCUUACACAAUAACAUUGGGUGAGCUGAUUGUAGCGAAAGAGGAAGGGACGGCUGACUCUGUGCCAGCAGCCGCGGUAAUACAGAGGUCCCAAGCGUUGUUCGGAUUCACUGGGCGUAAAGGGUGCGCAGGUGGGCUGGUAAGUUCGAUGUGAAAGCCCCGGGCUUAACCCGGGAAUGGCAUUGGAUACUACUGGUCUGGAGGAUUGGAGGGGGGACUGGAAUUCUUGGUGUAGCAGUGAAAUGCGUAGAUAUCAAGAGGAACACCAGUGGCGAAGGCGAGUCCCUGGACAAUUCCUGACACUGAGGCACGAAAGCCAAGGGAGCAAACAGGAUUAGAUACCCUGGUAGUCUUGGCUGUAAACGGUGCGUAUUUGCUGUAAACGGAAUCGACCCCGUUUGUGGCGUAGCUAACGCGAUAAAUACGCCGCCUGGGAAGUACGGUCGCAAGAUUAAAACUCAAAGAAAUUGACGGGGGCCUGCACAAGCGGUGGAGUAUGUGGCUUAAUUCGAUCAACGCGAAGAACCUUACCUGGCCUUGACGUGCAUGUGGUAGAACCAUGAAAGUGGGACGAUCCCGCAAGGGAAGCAUGCACAGGUGCUGCAUGGCUGUCGUCAGCUCGUGUCGUGAGAUGUUGGGUUAAGUCCCGCAACGAGCGCAACCCUUGUGUCCUGUUGCCACUCCCUCGAGAGAGGGAAGCACUCUGGACAGACUGCCUCGCUUAAACGAGGAGGAAGGUGGGGAUGACGUCAAGUCAGUAUGGCCCUUACGGCCAGGGCUGCACACGUACUACAAUGCUUGGCACAAAGGGAAGCUAGACCGUCAGGUGGAGCAAAUCCCAUAAAACCAUGCCCAGUUCAGAUUGUCGUCUGCAACUCGACGACAUGAAGCCGGAAUCGCUAGUAAUGGCGCAUCAGCUACGGCGCCGUGAAUACGUUCCCAGGCCUUGUACACACCGCCCGUCACAUCAUGAAAGCCGGUUGUACCCGAAGUCCACUUUGUUAACCGCAAGGAGACAGUGGCCGAAGGUAUGGCUGGUGAUUGGGAUGAAGUCGUAACAAGGUA
rnacentral:rRNA from 1 species